CCUAAACCCACCCACAGUUCGUGGAACCCCAUGGCCGUCAGUGGGUGCUGUGCGUCGUGGAACGCGUCUGGCAUACGCAAUUUAGAAUUUGCAAUGGCAAUCGAAUUUGGAUCGAGGCUGACAAGUGAAAACGGUUGCCGGCCAGAGACGCAUUCUGGCCGUCUCGUCGGUCGUUGACAGCUAAUCGGGUGUCUUGGCCGGCACUUUCACUCGCCCGUCGGCGUCAUUAGCAUGGCAUCAUCAUUAUCAGCAGUGCUAUCAUCAUCCGGCAUCUGGCUGUCCACUGGCUGAUGCUUGGCUGAUUGUGGCUUUGAGUUGAGUAAUCGCAAGUCUAGAUCAGCGAUGACCCAACGCGAACUGUAACCAGGUUGUUGUUCAACAGACAGUUUUGACUGUAGCUGUCACAAAAAAAAAGAGGAGCUUCAAGACGGCAGCACCUGUCGGGCCGUAGUCCAAUCAGUCUCUUCAGAGCAUUGCACGACAUGAGCGACUGCAGCCCGUAGCAAUUGUACUACUGUUCGCUUUUUGAGCCAAAAGACGAUUGAAGAGGACACAGACUUGGGUAUUGAUGGACCCAUGCCUUCCCAUUCCCAUGAUUUCCCACAAAUAAUGUGCUCCCUAUGCAUGAAGUCCUCACUUCCAUUUAGUUUCCGAUAGAAGCAUAACAAGCACAUUCUUGGCAUGCAUCCUUGAGAAUUUAAAGAGCAUACAUACAUUUGUAUGCACAUAGUAGAUCUUUCCAUAAAUAUAAAAUAUAAAAUGUUAUUAAUGUCAAUCUCGUUGUCUUGGUGAUGAGACCAUGGAGCGUCGCUAUCGAGGAGUUUGGGACGAAGCGAUGAUGGGUGACUUUAGUUGGUUUCUCACUAGAGUCUCACUAAGUCUUAACAUGGAAAAGAAACCCAAAUCAAUCAUAGGCCAAAUAUUUUUAAUUAAAGUUUUCUUUAUUAAUGAAAAUGAGUAAAAAUCGAACUUCUGCAUUUUUACUGAAAUGCUUAAAACUUCUAUAUAUUUCCGAAAGAUUUUGUUAUUUAAAUAAAAGAUCAGACUUAUAUUAAGAUUAAUAAAUCGGGUUAGUGAAAAUGUGCUUUUUUUUUGCAAUCAAUAGCAUAAUCUAGUUUUUAUUCUAAAUUUUUAAAAAUAAAUAACAUAUUCAUCAAUAGCGUUAACGGCG